UUUUAAUGUAUCUUUUUUGUUUUUGCAGAAUGUGGUGGUGACACUGGAAUUAGGCCAUCGUGCCACAGUUCGCCAACAGCGGACGAAUGAAGGCUUUACUCAUGACUGGGAGGUGUUUGUUCAGGGGUCAAAUGGAGCCCAUAUUGAAGCAUUUAUUGAUAAGAUUGUCUUUACUCUCCACAAAAGCUUCAAACUCCCAAAGAGAAUAUUAAAGGCACCUCCGUACAGAAUAAGUGAAAUGGGCUAUGGCAGCUUUAAUUUGCCAAUUGAAAUUUAUUUCAAGACAAAUCAUAGUGAAGAUACCAGAAAGGCUUUUUUCGAAUAUGAUUUGUUUCUUCAGCAUGUUGACAGCCA